rnacentral:rRNA from 1 species
GACGAACGCUGGCGGCGUGCUUAACACAUGCAAGUCGAACGCUGAAGCUCAGCUUUUGUUGGGUGGAUGAGUGGCGAACGGGUGAGUAACACGUGAGUAACCUGCCUCCUUCUUUGGGAUAACGCCCGGAAACGGGUGCUAAUACUGGAUAUUCACUGGUCUUCGCAUGGGGGUUGGUGGAAAGGGUUUUUCUGGUGGGGGAUGGGCUCGCGGCCUAUCAGCUUGUUGGUGGGGUGAUGGCCUACCAAGGCUUUGACGGGUAGCCGGCCUGAGAGGGGGACCGGUCACAUUGGGACUGAGAUACGGCCCAGACUCCUACGGGAGGCAGCAGUGGGGAAUAUUGCACAAUGGGCGCAAGCCUGAUGCAGCGACGCCGCGUGAGGGAUGGAGGCCUUCGGGUUGUGAACCUCUUUCGCUCAUGGUCAAGCCGCAACAAUGGUUGUGGUGAGGGUAAUGGGUAAAGAAGCGCCGGCUAACUACGUG